GACGAACGCUGGCGGCGUGCUUAACACAUGCAAGUCGAACGGAAAGGCCCUGCUUUUGUGGGGUGCUCGAGUGGCGAACGGGUGAGUAACACGUGAGUAACCUGCCCUUGACUUUGGGAUAACUUCAGGAAACUGGGGCUAAUACCGGAUAGGAGCUCCUGCUGCAUGGUGGGGGUUGGAAAGUUUCGGCGGUUGGGGAUGGACUCGCGGCUUAUCAGCUUGUUGGUGGGGUAGUGGCUUACCAAGGCUUUGACGGGUAGCCGGCCUGAGAGGGUGACCGGCCACAUUGGGACUGAGAUACGGCCCAGACUCCUACGGGAGGCAGCAGUGGGGAAUAUUGCACAAUGGGCGGAAGCCUGAUGCAGCAACGCCGCGUGCGGGAUGACGGCCUUCGGGUUGUAAACCGAUUUCGCCUGUGACGAAGCGUGAGUGACGGUAAUGGGUAAAGAAGCAACGGCUAACUACGUG
rnacentral:rRNA from 1 species